UGGGGAAUAUUGGACAAUGGGCGGAAGCCUGAUCCAGCAACGCCGCGUGAGGGAUGACGGCCUUCGGGUUGUAAACCUCUUUCAGUGCAGACGAAGCGAGAGUGACGGUAUGCACAGAAGAAGGACCGGCCAACUACGUGCCAGCAGCCGCGGUAAUACGUAGGGUCCGAGCGUUGUCCGGAAUUAUUGGGCGUAAAGGGCUCGUAGGCGGUUUGUUGCGUCGGGAGUGAAAUCCUCCAGCUUAACUGGAGGCUUGCUUUCGAUACGGGCAGACUUGAGGUACUCAGGGGAGAAUGGAAUUCCUGGUGUAGCGGUGAAAUGCGCAGAUAUCAGGAGGAACACCGGUGGCGAAGGCGGUUCUCUGGGAGUUACCUGACGCUGAGGAGCGAAAGUGUGGGGAGCGAACAGGAUUAGAUACCCCCGUAGUCC
rnacentral:rRNA from 1 species